GAAACUAACAAGGAUUCCCCUAGUAACGGCGAGUGAAGAGGGAAAAGCCCAGCACCGAAUCCCACAGCCUUGCGCUGUCGGGAACUGUGGUGUAUAGGAAGCCUACUUGUCGACGUGUUCGGGUACCCAAGUCCUCCUGAUCGUGGCCUCUCCCAUAGCGGGUGUCAGGCCCAUACAGGCACCCGACGGCGUCGGCUUGGAGCUUCCUCGGAGUCGGGUUGUUUGGGAAUG
rnacentral:rRNA from 1 species